AGCAGUAGCCGCGGUAAUACGUAGGGUGCGAGCGUUAAUCGGAAUUACUGGGCGUAAAGCGUGCGCAGGCGGUUAUAUAAGACAGAUGUGAAAUCCCCGGGCUCAACCUGGGACCUGCAUAUGUGACUGUAUAGCUAGAGUACGGUAGAGGGGGAUGGAAUUCCGCGUGUAGCAGUGAAAUGCGUAGAUAUGCGGAGGAACACCGAUGGCGAAGGCAAUCCCCUGGACCUGUACUGACGCUCAUGCACGAAAGCGUGGGGAGCAAACAGGAUUAGAUACCCCGGUAGUCCCUGUCUCUUAUAC
rnacentral:rRNA from 1 species